GACGAACGCUGGCGGCGUGCCUAAUACAUGCAAGUUGAGCGCUGAAGGUUGGUACUUGUACCAACUGGAUGAGCAGCGAACGGGUGAGUAACGCGUGGGGAAUCUGCCUUUGAGCGGGGGACAACAUUUGGAAACGAAUGCUAAUACCGCAUAAAAACUUUAAACACAAGUUUUAAGUUUGAAAGAUGCAAUUGCAUCACUCAAAGAUGAUCCCGCGUUGUAUUAGCUAGUUGGUGAGGUAAAGGCUCACCAAGGCGAUGAUACAUAGCCGACCUGAGAGGGUGAUCGGCCACAUUGGGACUGAGACACGGCCCAAACUCCUACGGGAGGCAGCAGUAGGGAAUCUUCGGCAAUGGACGAAAGUCUGACCGAGCAACGCCGCGUGAGUGAAGAAGGUUUUCGGAUCGUAAAACUCUGUUGGUAGAGAAGAACGUUGGUGAGAGUGGAAAGCUCAUCAAGUGACGGUAACGACCCAGAAAGGGACGGCUAACUACG
rnacentral:rRNA from 1 species